rnacentral:pre_miRNA from 1 species
AUGUAGGCUAAUAUCUCUUUAAGUAGGUAUAAAUUACUCUAAAAGAAAUGAACCCUAGAUGGUUUUCCCUUCAAGUGAAGUGUCUUGU